UUUUCAACCCAACUUGGGUUGUUUUUAACCCAGCAUUAUUUAAAGAGUACAGAUCAUAACAUCUGAGAUAUUAAUAUCAUAUUAAAAAACACCAUAUCUAUUUUACUUCACUUCAUUAACAUAAAGCAAAACAGAUAAAAUGAUUAUUCAAAAAUGUGAAUUCUGAUUAAUUAUAAACUUAAUACAUAAGCUUAUUAUAAUAAUUUCCCCAUAUUAAUUCAAUACCUCACACGCUUGCUUUACAACAUACAAGAUGAAAAAACGAUAAAGAUGUGCAAACAUGUACAAAAGCAACUAUAACAAACACAUUUAACAUCUGAGAUAUCAGUAGAUUAAAAACAUGUUUAUUUUUAUAUUUUAUAGUUUACUCCAAUUUAUUAACACCAAAAGCGAAAACUAAGAGUUAAAAAAUGUGAAUUCUGAUAAAUUAAUAACACACUACAAAGAUAAGCCUAUACAAUAAUAUUAAUAACAACAUGUUGGAGUUGUUGACAGUGUGGGCUGCAGCGAGGCAGCGGAUUGGCGGACGCAGAGCGGAAGUAGUUUGUUCAUGCUAAUGAAGGAGUCGCGCUUGUGGAUAUUUACGUUCGUCGGGAGCCGCCCUUCAUUCACCACAUGGUUAAAAGCGGAGCGCGUUCGCGCCACUUUCGCAAUUUUACUACGCUUUUGUAACGCUGCCCACGGCGUGCUCGGACGCGUCGCGUGCUGACGGCUGAUUCCUCCCAAGUUUGUCGUUUAGUUUCGACGCGGAGCCCGGAGCGAUGACAGCGAGCGAAGAUCCUGAGCUUCGGGACGGCGUCCGUGGAUCUGUCCGACGGCGUGUCAGCGCAGAGUCAAAGUGCUUACAGUGCAGGUAGUUCUGUUCAAUCUACUGCAGUGGAGGCACUUCAAGCUCUGCGGUCACAUGAUCGCACGCGAGCGGCGGCGGCGGCGACUACUGCUUAUGCUAAGGUGCAUUUAGUGCAGAUAGUGAAGUAGACUAGCACCUACUGCCCUAAGUGCCCCUUCUGGCAUAAGGGGCUGCAAUCCCUGCUGUUCCCACUGGCUGCUCCCGUUCCUUCCGUUUCAUGCAGUUCUCUGCUAGUUUUGCGUAGUUGCACUACAAGAAAUAUUGAGUUGUGCAAAUCUAUGCAAAACUGAUGGUGGCCUGCUUCCCCGUCUUUCCCUGCGCUUCUGGCUUCAGCGUCUCUGCUUGCGUCUCUCGCUGUCCCUCCCUCCGGUUCCAGCAGUAUUAAAGUGCUUAUAGUGCAGGUAGUUCUCGAACUCUCAUCUACUGCAGUGUGAGCACUUCAAGUACUUCUAGACGCGAGCGCCGCGGGCCGAGCCGGACCUCACGCUGCCUGUCUCUGUCUGUCUGUGCUGGUUAGUUUUGCUGGUUUGCAGUCAGCGUUCCUGUCGUUGCUGUGCAAAUCCAUGCAAAACUGAUCAUAGCAGUGAGGAGUCUCCGCUUCCCGCCGUCAGAUCCCCCAGCAUCCCUUUCUUCGCAGGUCGGGAUCGGCCGCAAUGCUCUGCGCUGGAAGUAUUGCACUUGUCCCGGCCUGUGGAGAGCGCGGGAAUCCUUCGGCUGCUCCUGUGUGCUUGUCUUCUGUUGUUGGAGUCUGAUCAUCUCAAUAAAAGUGUUGAACGUA